AAACUGCUUCCUAUGCUUGGGUUGUAGUCAACUUUUUCACGUGUUUUUACAAGAGCAAUAAACAGCAUCCCAUGCUUGGGUUUUAGUAAACUUUUUCAAGUGAAUAACAGCAUAGACAUGGAAAGAGAAUGCAUCCUCAAAGCAGGGUGUGUAUACUUAAAGGAGGACCAUGUACAGCUGUUCAAGGAGUAAAAUGAUUGCGACUGGGUGAAUGCUAAAGAAGCCAUAGAGCAGAUGGUAAUGGGGAUCUACAUCGUCCGAUCCGGAGGACACCAAACAGGAGAUAAACCUGUGGACGUUGGUAUUGUGAUUGAAGGGACUGAGGUUCUCUGCUCUUUGAAGAACGUAGCUGUAGCAGUGGCCAUGCUGUUUGGACUUACUUACGCCUUGAACCUCAGCUACCCACGAGAACGCAAAGCUUCAUUUGAGGUCAUCCGGAAAGUGUUCUUUAACUUGGAUGGACAAAAACUUUCACCAAAGGUACAAGCCCUCAAGAACAAGAUGCUGGAGUAAGUUACCUUAUGUGUGUAUUCUCCAAAGACUAAAUCUUGACUUCAGAAGGUAUUAGCUGUGAAUAUACAUUGAAAUAUCAAUAUUGUUCAUCUUGGAUGAUAUUUUUUGUAUUUUUUACCUGAACAUUUGCCUUGAAAUAAGAAUAAAGAGAAACUUGUGACAUUCAC